rnacentral:misc_RNA from 1 species
ACCUUCACCAUUAUCAUCUGCACUUAAUACAACAAAUACAUAUUUGAGCAAAGGAAUGAGUGUUAUUGUCCAGAAGAUUAGAGAAAAGGCACCAAAUAUUGCUUCUGAAGUCUGAUAAUUUUGCAACUUCCCCACAAAAAUACUCCUAUAGACGUAAAGCGGAGAAGUGCCCACAUCUCCAUAUACCACCCCCAGACUUUGGUAAGCCAGUAGUAGAUUACUGGAAAUGUUCACCAGCAUAAACUUGGAAGCCAAUGUCCCUUUUCUCCUCUCAAGUUGGGUUUGUCCAGCAGCAGGAGAAGGUGGUUGCUCCAUGGAGUCUCGCUCAUGAUCAAUAUCAACUCGAUGCAUCUAUUCGUCGGCGACCGGCGACCGGCAAUUGAAAUGAAUUCGGAGAUGUGGUGCCACAGAGGAUUCGGAUUCGGAUCCGGGUCGGUUUUUCCCCCUCUUGGAUUGCUCAACUUUGGA